UGAGGAAUAUUGGUCAAUGGACGAGAGUCUGAACCAGCCAUGCCGCGUGAGUGAUGAAGGCCUUAGGGUUGUAAAGCUCUUUUGUCCGGGAAGAUAAUGACCGUACCGGAAGAAUAAGCUCCGGCUAACUUCGUGCCAGCAGCCGCGGUAAUACGAAGGGAGCUAGCGUUGUUCGGAAUUACUGGGCGUAAAGGGCGCGUAGGCGGUACUAUAAGUUAGAUGUGAAAGCCCCGGGCUUAACCUGGGAACUGCAUUUAAUACUGUAGAACUAGAGGACGAGAGAGGAAAGUGGAAUUAUGAGUGUAGAGGUGAAAUUCGUAGAUAUUCAUAAGAACACCAGUGGCGAAGGCGACUUUCUGGCUCGUAUCUGACGCUAAGGCGCGAAAGCGUGGGGAGCAAACA
rnacentral:rRNA from 1 species